rnacentral:rRNA from 1 species
UUCCGGUUGAUCCUGCCGGACCCGACUGCUAUCAGAGUGAGAUUAAGCCAUGCGAGUUAACGUAGCAAUACGUGGCGCACGGCUCAGUAACACGUAGUCAACAUGCCCAGAGGACGUGGAUAACCUCGGGAAACUGAGUCUAAACCGCGAUAAGUGAGGAUUUCUGGAAUGGUUCCUGACUAAAAUCUAUAUGGCCUCUGGAUUGGACUGCGGCCAAUCAGGCUGUUGGUGAGGUAAUGGCCCACCAAACCUGUAACCGGUACGGGCUCUGAGAGGAGGAGCCCGGAGAUGGGCACUGAGACAAGGGCCCAGGCCCUAUGGGGCGCAGCAGGCGCGAAACCUCCGCAAUAGGCGAAAGCCUGACAGGGUUACUCUGAGUGACUUUCGCUAAGAAAGUCUUUUGGCACCUCUAAAAAGGGUGCAGAAUAAGGGGUGGGCAAGUCUGGUGUCAGCCGCCGCGGUAAUACCAGCACCCCGAGUGGUCGGGACGAUUAUUGGGCCUAAAGCAUCCGUAGCCGGUUCUGCAAGUCCCCCGUUAAAUCCAGCUGCUCAACAGAUGGGCCGCGGAGGAUACUACAGGACUAGGAGGCGGGAGAGGCAAGCGGUACUCAGUGGGUAGGGGUAAAAUCCUUUGAUCCAUUGAAGACCACCAGUGGCGAAGGCGGCUUGCCAGAACGCGCUCGACGGUGAGGGAUGAAAGCUGGGGGAGCAAACCGGAUUAGAUACCCGGGUAGUCCCAG